ACCUGGUUGAUUCUGCCAGUAGUCAUAUGCUUGUCUCAAAGAUAAGCCAUGCAGUCUAAGUGAGUG
rnacentral:rRNA from 1 species